rnacentral:rRNA from 1 species
CCUAGUGGCGGACGGGUGAGUGACGCGUGAGCAAUCUGCCUUUAGGAGGGGGGAUAACGACCGGAAACGGUCGCUAAUACCGCAUGAAGUGCCGGGUGGGCAUCCACCUGGCACCAAAGGAGCAAUCCGCCUUUAGAUGAGCUCGCGUCCCAUUAGCUAGUUGGUGAGGUAACGGCCCACCAAGGCGACGAUGGGUAGCCGGACUGAGAGGAAGGUCCCCCACAUUGGAACUGAGACACGGUCCAA